rnacentral:rRNA from 1 species
GUGGGGAAUAUUGGACAAUGGGCGGAAGCCUGAUCCAGCCAUGCCGCGUGUGUGAAGAAGGUCUUCGGAUUGUAAAGCACUUUAAGUUGGGAGGAAGGGCAGUAAGCUAAUACCUUGCUGUUUUGACGUUACCGACAGAAUAAGCACCGGCUAACUUCGUGCCAGCAGCCGCGGUAAUACGAAGGGUGCAAGCGUUAAUCGGAAUUACUGGGCGUAAAGCGCGCGUAGGUGGUUCAGCAAGUUGGAGGUGAAAUCCCCGGGCUCAACCUGGGAACUGCCUCCAAAACUACUGAGCUAGAGUACGGUAGAGGGUAGUGGAAUUUCCUGUGUAGCGGUGAAAUGCGUAGAUAUAGGAAGGAACACCAGUGGCGAAGGCGACUACCUGGACUGAUACUGACACUGAGGUGCGAAAGCGUGGGGAGCAAACAGGAUUAGAUACCCGAGUAGUCC